ensembl:lncRNA
GUAAAAACCACGCUUGGCUUCAUCUGCUUCUCCUGCCAGCCUCCAGUCAUGUCCAUUGAAUACACCAUUGAUAUCCAGCUGACAGAGUUGGGAUUUCCGGACAUACUGCAGCCGGAGGAGGCUUUGGUCAGACAAACACCGUGUCGCUCCACAUCAUCUGAUGGCUCCAUCUCACCCAGUCACUCUCCCACUUCACUUCCAACCAAACAUAAACCGAAACGGCUGCUCAGAGGUGGCAAAGUAGUAGGUGCAGCAGGACAGACCUCAGACACCCAAGAAACCACAGUGGCCUCUGGUCCAUCCAAACGGACUGAGAUGUUAAACUGUAAACGGCUGAAUCCCACAACAAAAAGGCUGCAAGACAAACAAAGUGGCAGCGAGACAGCACUCGCCGAACCGUCAGCACCCACAGUGAUGAGUGAUCCCAUUGCUUUACAAGAAACUACAGACAUUCCCCCGGUGAUCGCUGAACAGGAAGGAGGGGGUGUUGAUGGAGAUGGAGGAGGGCAGAGACCUGAUGUAGACAUGGCUGAGGGUGAAUCGGCAGAAGUGCAGGAGGAUGACUCGGAUGACAGUGAAGUGUCAGAGGUGUAUGAGGAGGAAGAGGUUGAUGAGGAAGAGGAGGAUGAGGAGCUAACUAGUGAUAUAAGGCUGUAAAUUCAGCCUGCUGGAGGAAGAAUGAAUGGAGAUGAAUCCUAUGCAGUGUGAUGCAGAAUUUCUAUUAGCAUUAAAAUUUCUGUCAUGUUCUUAUCGUCUUGGAAAACUGAUUCUUUUUGUAAACUGUGUCAAAACUAGAGGGAAACAGGGUUUUUUUUUUUUCUUCUGAAAGCUUGUUUUGUAUAGUAACUAGCAUUUUAGUGCUAUGUUAAAUAUUUCAUUAUGAAUGGUACUGAUUAGUAGAAUGAAUAGAUGUCUUCUUGUGAUUAACAUUUCAUGACUCUAAACAGUCUGCAGGUAUAUUUUGUUUUUCUAAAGGUUAAUAAAUGCUUGUUUGGAUGCAAGGUGAGUCGCACUGAAACUGUUUUUUUUAAAGUUUGCCUAUCUACAGUAUUGCCUUCUGUUGCAAAAAGUUGGCCUUAAAUUCUAAAAACUACCAAAUGAAAAAAUAUAUGUGCCAAAAUAUAGCUCUCGUUAGGGUCAUGAGAAGUCUGAAACCAUACAGCCACAGAGUCAGACAUAGUGAGGUUCAUUUCCUGUAACAUCUUUGAAAAAUGGAUAUACUGUUUAUACCCCUAUUUAACUGUCCAAAUGAGGUCAAAACGUAGUUAUCACGCAACUCUCUCACACUGAACGAGGAUAAGUCAGAAGUUAUAGUUUUUUUUUUGUGAUCAACAUUUUAUUGAUUUAAAACGGGGUUGGGGGGGGGGGGUAGAAGUUAUAGUUUUUGAUGGUCACGCCCGCUGGAACAACUAACUGAUGCCUUAGGCCCCUUUGCUAGCCAUCUCUCGCUCACUGUUAGAAACCUUGGUGUUUUCCUGGACAGCUCUUUCAAACUCAAGAAACAGCUCUCCUCUGUGGUAGAAAACAGUUUCUACCAGCUGCGUCAGAUAUCUAUCUUUGAAGGACCUUGAAAAGUUAUCACUUCCAAAUUAGACUACUGUAAUUCCCUCUACUCGGGCCACC